AUACUUGUUUCAACAGCACAUAUUCUAAAAUUGGAUCAAUACAGAACAGAUAAGCAUGCCUGCUGCCUAAGGAUGGCACACAAAUUCAGAAAGCAUUCCACAUGUUG
ensembl:snRNA U6 U6 spliceosomal RNA